CAGCUAUCCAUUUAGUAUUUGCCAUGCGCCUAUACUGUUCCUGGGAAGUGUCUUGAGCCCAGAGUCUGUCUUCUGUUUCUCUGCCUACUUCUGUGAACCCUCAGCAUGAGGAGCAAGUGCACCAUAAAUAUUCAUUGCAAUCUCUUUCUAUGUUGCUUCCUUUCACUUAGUGUGCCAGGCACUCUGUGCAUGCUCAAGAAUGCAUGUUGAAAGAGAAAUAUUUAUGGACCAUCUACUAUAUGCAGAAGACUGUAGUACAAUUUUAGGGGACAUAAAAUUUAUAAGACCACGUCUUGACUCUCAAGGGACUCAGUCCACUUGGGAGCAUGUGGCAAUGCACUGGAGAGUUUUUCAAAGGGCCCAAAUUCUGCCUCAUCAUUUCUUUUAUACAGAUGUUGAUAAAAGAAUUUUCCUCUGAAAACCUACCUUGCUGGAUCAUAGAAGUCCAUGGCUUUUUUGGCUUUGUUGUAGGCAGCCACUCGGAAUGGAAUGAUUUCCACAGAGGCUAGCCGGACAAGAACACUCAAAUCUUACUAUUCUACAGAACUAUGUGGAUUUUACUUUCCAGUGCCUCCCUAUUCAC
rnacentral:lncRNA from 1 species